rnacentral:rRNA from 1 species
UACAGGGGGUGCAAACGUUGCUCGGAAUCAUUGGGCGUAAAGCGCACGUAGGCGGUUCGUUAUGUCGGAUGUGAAAGCCCUUGGCUUAACCGAGGAAGUGCAUCCGAAACUGGCGAGCUAGAGUACGAAAGAGGAUCGCGGAAUUCCCGGUGUAGAGGUGAAAUUCGUAGAUAUCGGGAGGAACAUCGGUGGCGAAGGCGGCGAUCUGGGUCGAUACUGACGCUGAGGUGCGAAAGCGUGGGGAGCAAACAGG